rnacentral:rRNA from 1 species
CUCAGAUUGAACGCUGGCGGCAGGCCUAACACAUGCAAGUCGAGCGGUAACAGAGAGUAGCUUGCUACUUUGCUGACGAGCGGCGGACGGGUGAGUAAUGCUUGGGAACAUGCCUUGAGGUGGGGGACAACAGUUGGAAACGACUGCUAAUACCGCAUAAUGCCUACGGGCCAAAGAGGGGGAUCUUCGGACCUCUCGCGUCAAGAUAUGCCUAGGUGGGAUUAGCUAGUUGGUGAGGUAAUGGCUCACCAAGGCGACGAUCCCUAGCUGGUCUGAGAGGAUGAUCAGCCACACUGGAACUGAGACACGGUCCAGACUCCUACGGGAGGCAGCAGUGGGGAAUAUUGCACAAUGGGCGAAAGCCUGAUGCAGCCAUGCCGCGUGUAUGAAGAAGGCCUUCGGGUUGUAAAGUACUUUCAGUUGUGAGGAAGGGGUAACGUUAAGUAGCGUUAUCUCUUGACGUUAGCAACAGAAAU